rnacentral:rRNA from 1 species
GACGAACGCUGGCGGCGUGCUUAACACAUGCAAGUCGAACGGAAAGACGCUGCUUUUGUGGGGUGCUCGAUUGGCGAACGGGGGAGUAACACGUGAGUAACCUGCCCUUGUCUUUGUGGUAACUUCAGGGAACUGGGGCGAAUACCGGAUAGGAUCUCCUGCUGCAUGUUGGGGGUUGGAAAGUUUCGGCUGUUGGGGAUGGACUCGCGGCUUAUCAGCUGGUUGGGGUGGUAGUGGCUGACCAAGGCUUUGACGGGUAGCCGGCAUGAGAGGGUGGACGGCCACAUUGGGACUGCGAUACGGAGCAGAAUCCUACGGGAGGCAGCAGUGGGGAACAUUGCACAAUGGGCGGAAGUCUGAUGCAGAAACGCCGCGUGCGGGAUGACGGCCUUCGGGUUGUAAACAGAUUUCGAAUGUGACGAAGAGUGCGUGACGGUAAUGGGUCAAGAAGCAACGGCUAACUACGUG